AGAGGGACGAGGUUCAGCUAAUCCUUCAGCAAUCGAGAAGGGAAUCAAAUACUUGAUAAUUUGGGCUAAUAGGUCUGGUAUUUCGUUUUCAUCAGUUUUGCAAAUGCUCGCUUGCAAGCGCUAUAAAACCAUCCAAUGUUUAUACGAGGGAAAUUUUCAGAUCUCAAACCCAAUUUUGCUUUGGGUACUUUCUCUUAAGUAUGGCAAAGAAACAAGCUUUGGGGAUAUCGAUCGAUGGAGUAUGAGAGGUUUGGUGGGUAUUAA
rnacentral:lncRNA from 1 species